rnacentral:rRNA from 1 species
GUAGGCGGGUGGUUUAGGUAAAUCCGGACCGCUACUAACGCUGAGAUACGAUGUCGAGCUACUACGGUAGUGAAGUCAUUGAUGCCAUGCUUCCAGGAAAAGCCUCUAAGCUUCAGAUUGUAAGGAAUCGUACCCCAAACCGACACAGGUGGUCGGGUAGAGAAUACCAAGGCGCUUGAGAGAACUCGGGUGAAGGAACUAGGCAAAAUGGUACCGUAACUUCGGGAGAAGGUACGCUCUUAUCAGUGAAGUCCCUUGCGGAUGGAGCAGACGAGAGUCGCAGAUACCAGGUGGCUGCAACUGUUUAUUAAAAACACAGCACUGUGCAAAAUCGUAAGAUGACGUAUACGGUGUGACGCCUGCCCGGUGCCGGAAGGUUAAUUGAUGGGGUUAGACUUCGGUCGAAGCUCUUGAUCGAAGCCCCGGUAAACGGCGGCCGUAACUAUAACGGUCCUAAGGUAGCGAAAUUCCUUGUCGGGUAAGUUCCGACCUGCACGAAUGGCGUAAUGAUGGCCACGCUGUCUCCACCCGAGACUCAGUGAAAUUGAAAUCGCUGUGAAGAUGCAGUGUACCCGCGGCUAGACGGAAAGACCCCGUGAACCUUUACUACAGCUUGGCACUGAACAUUGAACCUACAUGUGUAGGAUAGGUGGGAGACUAUGAAAUUGCGUCGCUAGAUGUGAUGGAGUCGUCCUUGAAAUACCACCCUUGUAGUUUUGAUGUUCUAACGUUGGCCCCUGAAUCGGGGUUACGGACAGUGCCUGGUGGGUAGUUUGACUGGGGCGGUCUCCUCCCAAAGAGUAACGGAGGAGCACGAAGGUGGGCUAAACACGGUUGGACAUCGUGUGGUUAGUGCAAUGGCAUAAGCCCGCUUGACUGCGAGAAUGACAAUUCGAGCAGGUGCGAAAGCAGGUCAUAGUGAUCCGGUGGUUCUGAAUGGAAGGGCCAUCGCUCAACGGAUAAAAGGUACUCCGGGGAUAACAGGCUGAUACCGCCCAAGAGUUCAUAUCGACGGCGGUGUUUGGCACCUCGAUGUCGGCUC